UACCUAAUAUCACCUGCUCCAACUUAAUGUGAAGCGUAAAAUAAAAUUCACAUAAAAUAACAACCGUAAAAUAAAAUCAUUCUAAAACAAAAACAACCUGGAUUGACUACGCCCAAAUAGCUAGAAAGUUGGACAAUAUUUCUACACUAGGCAUUUUUAUUUGUAUCUGCCCACACUGGAGUAUAAAAUCAUGGUAAAGGCGUAACGCGCACAGAGAUCAACGAGCCACGCGACUAAGCGGGGCGUUUGGCAUUAACAAUAUUGUAUAAAAAUAUCUCAUAAUAGGGCUAUCACUAUCCUGAGGGUCGCGGCUGCCACGCAGAAUGCUGGACAUCCUCCGCGCACCACAACAU